rnacentral:rRNA from 1 species
GACGAACGCUGGCGGCGUGCUUAACACAUGCAAGUCGAGCGGUAAGGCCCUUUCGGGGGUACGACGAGCGGCGAACGGGUGAGUAACACGUGGGUGACCUGCCCUCAGCUCUGGGAUAAGCCCGGGAAACUGGGUCUAAUACUGGAUAUGACUCCACGGUGCAUGCCGUGGGGUGGAAAGCCUUGUGCGGCUGAGGAUGGGCCCGCGGCCUAUCAGCUUGUUGGUGGGGUGAUGGCCUACCAAGGCGACGACGGGUAGCCGGCCUGAGAGGGCGACCGGCCACACUGGGACUGAGACACGGCCCAGACUCCUACGGGAGGCAGCAGUGGGGAAUCUUGCGCAAUGGGCGAAAGCCUGACGCAGCGACGCCGCGUGAGGGAUGACGGCCU